UAAGAGUGCUUUACACUUCUAAAGAUUAUCUUUUUUUGGCUAAAGUGAAUGAAGAAAAAUCCAUUAGGUCACUUGAAAGACGCAUAAAUGCGUUUUACAGUUCCUAUGAGGAAAAAACGUACGCCCCACAACUGGAUGAGCUAUGCGUUAUUAAAUAUAACGACGGUAAGUGGUACAGAGGCAUUUGUAAAGCUAUUAAUGAUGAUUUUAGUGGAAAAUCGACUUUUUUUAUAUCAUUGCUUGAUUGGGGCGAGUUUAUUAAUGUAAAUGCUAACAAUAUACGUAAAAUACAGCCAUUUUGUACUCAACACACACCUUUAGCAAUUAAAUGCGUUCUUAGAGAUUUGAAACUUUCACGUGUUCCGAAGAAAAUCUUAUGGAAACUUUCAAACAAAGUUUUCAAUUGCAACAUACUUGCUAGAAUUGGACCAAAUUAUUAUGAAAUUAA